GAUUGGAUAAUCGGCGAUAGGUCCGAGCUUUAAAAUGUAGAUUUGGUUUUGUGGGUGAAAAAGAAACGCAGACAAGCGAAUGAACAGGGACGAGUGCAGACGAGGAGUAAAUGGAUCAUUACUCAGGGUAGCAUGUGCUUGCUUCCGUUGCUUUACUUGCUGCUUGCUGCUUGCUGCUUGUUAUUGCUGAAGAUUCUGUGCAAAAUGGAUAUAGUAUCCAGUUGCAAGGAAAAAUUGACAUAUUUUCGUAUAAAAGAGCUCAAAGAUGUGCUUACUCAGUUAGGACUUUCGAAGCAGGGAAAGAAGCAGGAUCUCGUUGAUAGGAUACUAUCUAUUCUCUCAGAUGAACAAGUUUCCAAAAUGUGGGCCAAGAAGAAUGCUGUUGGAAAAGAACAGGUGGCGAAAUUAGUGGAUGACACAUAUAGAAAAUUAUCAGUGUCUGGGGCCACUGAUCUAGCAUCAAAGGGACAGGUUACCUCAGAUAGCAGUAAUGUGAAAAUUAAAGGUGAAAUCGAUGAUUCCUUUCAAUCAGAUACAAAGAUUCGCUGUCUCUGUGGAAGUUUAUCGGAAAUAGAGCCAUUGAUCAAGUGUGAAGGUACAAGAUGCUAUGUGUGGCAGCACUUCAACUGUGUUAUUAUUCCGGAGAAACCUAUGGAAGGAAUCCCGCCAGAUCCUGAUAAAUUUUAUUGCGAAAUAUGUCGUCUAAGUCGUGCAGACCCGUUUUGGGUUUCAGAAAAGCACCUUUUGUUUCCUGUGAAGUUGAUUACAACCAAUAUUCCAACUGAUGGAACCAAUCCAAUAAUAAGUGUGGAGAGAACAUUUCAACUUACAAGAGAAGACAAGGACUUGUUGUCAAAAUCGGAAUUUGAUGUUCAGGCUUGGUGUAUGCUUCUAAAUGACAAAGUUUCAUUCCGGAUGCAAUGGCCUCAAUAUACUGACCUACAGGUUAAUGGUCUUCCUGUUCGUGCAAUUAACAGACCUGGUUCACAAGUGCUUGGUGCUAAUGGUCGUGACGAUGGUCCAAUUAUCACGCCAUAUACAAAAGACGGAAUUAAUAAGAUUUCGUUAGCAGGGUGUGAUAAUCGCAUUUUCUGUUUAGGGGUUCGUAUUGUUAGAAGGUGCAGCAUGCAACAGAUCCUAGACAUGAUUCCAAAGGAAUCUGAUGGUGAGCGUUUCGAAGAUGCUCUUGCACGUGUCUGUUGUUGUGUCGGGGGAGGAAAUGCAACUGACAAUGCUGAUAGUGACAGUGAUUUGGAAGUGGUUUCGGAUACUUUUAGCAUCAACCUUCGUUGUCCAAUGAGUGGUUCAAGAAUGAAGAUUGCAGGAAGAUUCAAACCUUGUGUUCACAUGGGUUGUUUCGAUCUUGAAAUUUUUGUGGAAUUGAAUCAACGUUCAAGGAAGUGGCAGUGCCCCAUAUGUCUUCAAAACUAUGCGUUGGAGAAUAUCAUAAUUGAUCCUUAUUUCAAUCGCAUCACUUCUAUGAUGAAAAAUUGUGGAGAAGAGGUUACAGAGGUUGAGGUGAAGCCUGAUGGUUAUUGGCGUGUCAAGACUAAGAGUGAAAGUGAGCGCCGGGAGUUGGGGAAUCUUGCUCAGUGGCACUGUCCUGAUGGAUCCCUCUCUGUUUCUACUGAUGGAGACCUCAAGAGAGUAGAAACUGCGAAGCUCAAACAGGAAUGUGUUUCAGACAGUCCUACUGGUUUAGUACUUGGCAUCAGGAAGAACCGUAAUGGAGUUUGGGAAUUCAGUAAAGCAGAGGACACAAACACUUAUUCUGGUAAUAGACUGAAUGAGGAUUUUGGAAAUGAUGAACAUGUGGUUAUUCCAAUGAGCAGCAGUGCCACUGGAAGUGGCCGGGAUGGUGAUGAUCCUAGCGUAAAUCAGGGUGGUGGUGGGCAUAUUGAUUAUUCUACUACCAAUGGGAUUGAGAUGGAUUCUGUGUGUCACAAUAAUGUUGAUUCAGCUUAUGGAUAUACUGUUCAUAACACUUCUGCUCCGGCGGGUGAUGCUGAAGUUAUUGUUCUUAGUGAUUCAGAAGAAGACAAUGAUAUAUUGGUAUCUCCUGCGAUUGGGUACAGAAAUAAUCAAACUCGUGCUGCAGUUGAUGUUUACUCGAUGCCACCACCUGCCAUUAUCGAUCCAUAUAUAGAAGAUCAUAAUCUUGGUGGAAAUCCAUGCUUGGGAGUUUUUAAUAAUCCAAGUGAAGAUGAUUUUGGGAUGCACGCCCUCUGGCCGCCAUUGCAUUCUGGAAAUCAGGCAGGCUCAGGUUUCCAAUUAUUCAGUUCUGAUGUUGAUGUGUCAGAUGCAUUGGUUCAUUUGCAGCAUGGUGAUAUUAAUUGCUCUUCAUCACUGAAUGAUUAUACAUUGGCUUCAGAUGCUGCUUUGGGAUCUAGUACUCUUAUAGCAGAUUCCUCUGCAGGUCGACCUGAUGCUGAUUUAAAUGGUGGCUUGGUUGACAAUCCAUUGGCAUUUGCUGGAGAAGAUCCGUCGCUUCAGAUCUUUCUCCCUACAAGACCAGCAGAAUCAUCUGUGCAGCAUGAAUUGAGAGAUCAUGCAGAUGUGUCAAAUGGUGUCUGCGGCGAGGAUUGGAUCUCUCUUAGGCUUGGAGGAGGUGCGGUUGGCAGUAAUGGUGAUGGUUCUACUCCAAAUAGGUUGUAUUCCAAACCGCAAAUUACAUCCAGAGAAGGUGCCACAGAUUCUUUGACUGAUACUGCUUCUUUGCUUCUUGGUAUGAAUGAUGUGAGAUCUGACAAGGCAAGUAGGCAAAGAACAGAUAGCCCUUUCUCAUUUCCCCGCCAAAAACGUUCAAAACUGAAGAAAGUUGAGCAGCAUUUUUGGUCCUCAGGAAAUGGAAGUUGAUUUGGUCUUGAGGCAUCUCCGGUGGAGCAUAGCUACGAAAGUUGCCCAGCCAAAAUGCUUGCACCUGUCAGGCGCAUGGGUAUUAUUCCCCAGUUUACAUCCAUGAUCUGAUGGUACUGGUGUAGUACGUCUUCCAGAUGGACAUUCAAACAUAUAGAUCUGAUGGUUCAAACUUCCUGAUGUGGUUGGAAGUUCCCCGUUAAGAAAUUUUAUAUCUGCAAUUUUGUCUCUGCUUAGAACAAUUAAUCUGUAAAUGUUAAACCGACAGAUUCAAUCGUAAAAUCAAAAAUAGUUUUAUCUUAUUCACACCCAGGUAGACGUCCAACUUUGUAAUAUAUGAUUGCCAAUAUUUGUAAUAUAUUUAGGCAUUAAAGUUGCAUCCUGUCUUGUAAAUCCUGGUGAGGAUAAACAUUUUUGCCGUUUGCCUUUGUAUUUAGUUAUAGCUCACCGUCUUGA